CCCCUCGUGGCGGAACAGGCAGACGCACCGGUCUCAGAAACCGGGGCCCGCACGGGCAUGUCCGUUCGACUCGGACCGAGGGGACCA
rnacentral:tRNA from 1 species